rnacentral:rRNA from 1 species
AUUGAACGCUGGCGGCAGGCCUAACACAUGCAAGUCGAGCGAGCGGCGGACGGGUGAGUAAUGUAUGGGAAACUGCCGGAUGGAGGGGGAUAACUACUGGAAACGGUAGCUAAUACCGCAUACCAUCAGAUGGGCCCAGAUGGGAUGAGCUAGUCGGUGGGGUAACGGCUCACCUAGGCGACGAUACCUAGCUGGUCUGAGAGGAUGACCAGCCACCCUGGAACUGAGACACGGUCCAGACUCCUACGGGAGGCAGCAGUGGGGAAUAUUGCCCAAUGGGCGCAAGCCUGAUGCAGCCAUGCCGCGUGUGUGAAGAAGGCCUUCGGGUUGUAAAGCCCUUUCAGCGGGGAGGCGUUACCCGCAGAAGAAGCACCGGCUAACUCCGUGCCAGCAGCCGCGGUAAUUC